ACCAUUAACACACCAAAACCCUUACUCGAUACUGAAUGACUCCAUAACACAUAUGGAAAACUAUAUGCUAGAACUAGUAAUAAGAAGAAGACCUUCUCCAAAAUAUAAGUGUGAGCCGAAAUGAACAACUCACCGGCACUUAACGCAAUUGAAUCAAUAGUAGCAACCGAACAAGAAAACCCUACUUCAUCAUGCGUCAACCUUACACUAGAAUAUUCCUGGAAAGAUUAAAAGAAGAGGAAGGAACUCGGCAAAUCACUAACCCCGCCUGUUUACCAAAAACAUCGCCUCUUGAAAAAAUAUAAGAGGUCCAGCCUGCCCAGUGACAAAGUUAAACGGCCGCGGUACCCUAACCGUGCGAAGGUAGCGCAAUCACUUGUUCUUUAAAUGAGGACUAGUAUGAAUGGCAUCACGAGGGUUAUACUGUCUCCCUCUUCCAAUCAAUGAAACUGACCUCCCCGUGAAGAGGCGGGGAUAAGACUAUAAGACGAGAAGACCCCAUGGAGCUUUAAACUCAGUAUCAAUUACCUUACCGCACACCAUCUUAACUUGGUAACUCUGAUUACUGGUUUUCGGUUGGGGUGACCGCGGAGUAAAACAAAACCUCCACGAUGAACGGACCAAUGCUCCUAAUCAUAGAGCCACAGCUCACAGAAUCAAAAAAUUGACAUAAAUUGAUCCAAUUAAUUUUGAUCAACGAACCAAGUUACCCUGGGGAUAACAGCGCAAUCCACUUCAAGAGCUCCUAUCGACAAGUGGGUUUACGACCUCGAUGUUGGAUCAGGGUAUCCUAGUGGUGCAGCCGCUACUAAAGGUUC
rnacentral:rRNA from 1 species